rnacentral:rRNA from 1 species
AUUGAACGCUGGCGGCAGGCCUAACACAUGCAAGUCGAGCGAGCGGCGGACGGGGGAGGAAUGUAUGGGGAAUGCGCGAUAGAGGGGGAUAACAACUGGAAACGGUAGCUAAUCCCGCAUACGACCGCAUUGCACAUAUGGGAUUAGCUAGUAGGGGAGGUAAUGGCUCACCUAGGCGACGAUCCCUAGAUGGUGUGAGAGGAUGAACAGCCACACGGGAACUGUGACACGGUCCAGACUCCUACGGAGGCAGCAGUGGGGAAUCUUGCACAAUGGGCGCAAGCCUGAUGCAGCCAUGCCGCGUGUAUGAAGAAGGCCCUAGGGUUGUAAAGUACUUUCAGUCGGGAGGCGUUACCGACAGAAGAAGCACCGGCUAACUCCGUGCCAGCCGCCGCGGUAAUUC